UGUGUGCCUUGGCCUUAUGCCAAUAGGAUAUGUAGUUAGACUAGAUCUAUGUAUUCAUAUCCUUACCAUAUUGGUAUUGUAUAAUUCCCUAUAUAAAGGGCUCCUAUCAAUGAAUAAGAUGAUUCUCUUGCUAUCUCUUUGUCUCUACACUUUAUUCUUCAUCAAAUUUCUUAUUUUUGAUUAAAUUCUCGAGAAUUCACUCGCAUCCAAACACACAAUUAAGGAUUAUGGUCAAAGGUAAGGGGAAAGCUUAGUUUGGUUUUAAUCAUAUCUUCAUCUUCGUUAUAAAUCUGGAAUAUACUCAAAUUAAUCCUCGGAGGAGAAGUGGAACAAAGUACUACUUGGUCUUAAAGAAGCGUCAAUCAUUACAAUAUAAACACCUACACAAUGGUUUAUCAAUUUUGACAAGGAACUUUAACUAUGUAUAUGCUUAGAGUGAAAAUGAUUAUAUAAAUUACAAAUUUCAACCUAGGUGGAUAGUAAAUCGUAACUACUGUAGUGUUUCCCAAGUUACUUUUAUUUUAAGUUCCUACACACAUCAGUGAGCUAUGACUUGGUUGGUUAAAGUGUUUAACUGACAACUUUGAGGUCAUGGGUUCAAACCUCACGACAUGUGUAUGGUGUGUGAGUUAUUAAUAAAAGUUAACAAAAAAAAAAAAACACACGUUCCUUCCAUCGAUAUCGGGCAUUGGCGGAGCCAUGAAGAGACCAAAGGGUGCCAUGGCACCCCCCAAUCAUAUGUUGACACCUUGCAAACUAGUAUCAAAUUUAAUUAAUUUUGUUAAAAUCAAUGAAACUUUGAUGUAUGGCACACCCUAAAAUUAAUAGUUGGUCUAUUUUUUAUAGCUAAAUUAAUUAAAUUUUUUGAUGAAUUGCUACUUUUACAGUUUUAAUGGACGAUAUAAUUAAAUUGAUCACUUUUAUUUUUGUCCUUCUUUUAUAUAUCUAAUUUAUUAAAACAAAUUUUAAUGUUUUUUUUUCUAGAUCAUAAGAAAAUUUGUAUUUAAUAGCAUUUCCAUAAUAAAACUACACAAUAGUUUGUAUUUAUCAAAAUGUCCCCUCCCAUUCUUGUAUUCGACAAUCUCAUUAAUCAAAACUUG
rnacentral:lncRNA from 1 species